AGAGUUUGAUCAUGGCUCAGGACGAACGCUGGCGGCGUGCCUAAUACAUGCAAGUCGAACGCUUUUUCUUUUCACCGGAGCUUGCUCCACCGAAAGAAAAAGAGUGGCGAACGGGUGAGUAACACGUGGGUAACCUGCCCAUCAGAAGGGGAUAACACUUGGAAACAGGUGCUAAUACCGUAUAACACUAUUUUCCGCAUGGAAGAAAGUUGAAAGGCGCUUUUGCGUCACUGAUGGAUGGACCCGCGGUGCAUUAGCUAGUUGGUGAGGUAACGGCUCACCAAGGCCACGAUGCAUAGCCGACCUGAGAGGGUGAUCGGCCACACUGGGACUGAGACACGGCCCAGACUCCUACGGGAGGCAGCAGUAGGGAAUCUUCGGCAAUGGACGAAAGUCUGACCGAGCAACGCCGCGUGAGUGAAGAAGGUUUUCGGAUCGUAAAACUCUGUUGUUAGAGAAGAACAAGGAUGAGAGUAGAACGUUCAUCCCUUGACGGUAUCUAACCAGAAAGCCACGGCUAACUACGUGCCAGCAGCCGCGGUAAUACGUAGGUGGCAAGCGUUGUCCGGAUUUAUUGGGCGUAAAGCGAGCGCAGGCGGUUUCUUAAGUCUGAUGUGAAAGCCCCCGGCUCAACCGGGGAGGGUCAUUGGAAACUGGGAGACUUGAGUGCAGAAGAGGAGAGUGGAAUUCCAUGUGUAGCGGUGAAAUGCGUAGAUAUAUGGAGGAACACCAGUGGCGAAGGUGGCUCUCUGGUCUGUAACUGACGCUGAGGCUCGAAAGCGUGGGGAGCGAACAGGAUUAGAUACCCUGGUAGUCCACGCCGUAAACGAUGAGUGCUAAGUGUUGGAGGGUCUCCGC
rnacentral:rRNA from 1 species